ACGCUCGACACCUACGGGAGGCGGCAGUGGGGAAUAUUGCACAAUGGGGGAAACCCUGAUGCAGCGACGCCGCGUGAGCGAAGAAGUAUUUCGGUAUGUAAAGCCCUAUCAGCAGGGAAGAAACUGACGGUACCUGACUAAGAAGCACCGGCUAAAUACGUGCCCGCAGCCGCGGUAAUCUGAGCGGGCUGGCAAGGC
rnacentral:rRNA from 1 species